CUAACCACUGUUUAAUUUGCAGGUCCUUCAAUAUCUGUAUCUACUUAUUUCAGUAUAUUUUCUUGAACAAAGAAAACAGAAACCUAAUCUUUGGUUAGCAUUUACUAUAUUGGAUGCUUGUUUUUUACGGUGUUUUUGUUUUCCUUGACCUUCGUAAUAAAAUAUCAAUUCAAUAUUUGCUUCCAAAGGACCAAUACAUAAAUUACUUAAUAACAUAACGAUGAGUUUUGACUGUUUGCUGACAUUGAUCAGCGAAGUAGAUAUCAGAUAUCCAGUUUUUGUUGAACCUAAACUGCCCAAGAUCUUUAUAUGAUUUGACUUUGGAGCCUUCAAAGACAUCGGUGGAAUUUAAGGUUGCGGCCCGUCCUUCUCUUUAUUGAGGAUACUAUCGUUGGAAGUAACUGUAUCGGCUGUAGCCACCCACCUGCCUCCCUAAAAGAAGGGGGGGGGGGGGUAGGGAAACAAAUUGUGGAAGGUUGGUUAGUGGAAGAGAGAGUUCAUCAGAUGGUGCAAAGCAUUUCACUGAUAUAGCUGUGAAUUAUGAGAUCCGGAAAAAGAGGUACAGGGCUCAGAGUUGCAAAGCGACACUUGAACUUCCUUCCCCGCAGCCAAGAAAACUAAGUAGAGAGUGCACUGUGAGGAGAGAGACUCGAUCUUCACAGAAUAUUCUGUGGGGAAGUGCUUCUGAAAAGGAUGACGCUGAGUCCAGAUUUCUCUGUCAGAUCGAAAGUUCAAGUCGGUAAAUUGAUGGCUCUCUUGCUCAUUGCACAGUCAGUGUCAACUGGAAAUCCAGAAGCUCUGCGCAACCCCUUUCAUCUAAUGUUUUUCUUAUAGAGGAUGGUUUCCUGGAUAACAAAUUGAGUGCUUCAGCUAGCUCCAGUUGUAAGUCAGACUGCCAGUUAGGUUCAGGAUGGGAGGAUGAGUCUAUUGUAGCUGGCAGAUCAAUGGAGGAUGCCUCAUUUAGGGAGUCUCUUGAACUUGAUGACAGUUCAAAUGUGAUGCAUGAGAGAAGGAAACUCAUUUAUUAUUCACUGCGUUAGGAUCCCUACAUUAUUAUUUACCGCAUAACAGUUUUUACAUUAUUAUCACCGCAUAAACAUUCCCUGCAUGUCCAAUACUUUAACUAAAUAAUGUCUUACUCUUUUGUGUUUGCAAUUUUGUGAUAUUUCUGAAGAAAAGGAGAGUGAUAUAGGGUGCUUUAUCUUUUGUUCCAGCACUAUGUGGCCAUCUGGUGGAGUAUAUUCUUAUGUAGAAACUGAAGCCCAUAUCAAAAUAAAUGUGCUUCCCUUUUUACAUAGUCAAGGAUUAUGAUCUUUUGUUUGAUUCUAGCAUUUAUCUUCUUUGAGCAUUACACUCAUUGUCAUAUUCUACAGCAUGCUGCAGUUUAGCGAAUUCUCUUGGAAGAACUGCGUGAGAAGGUAAUGAUUGUCUAAAAACCAUUGAUGUGUCAUUUCAAUGUGGAGUCAGUAAUUUAGUGAAUUAUCCGGUCCUAUCUGGACAUAAUUAGAGGACAACAACCUAUCUUGAUUCCGGGCAAGAAUUGGUACGUAUAUGGUCAUCUAAUGUGAAAUAAAUUUGCCUUGUGUCGCUUGGUGUGUGGGGAAGAAGAAACUCUUUAUAUAAUAGGUAACAUUGAUUUUGAGUCUUUGACCAUGCUUUUGCAGAUCAUGCCUGAAAUUGGUUACCAAUUAUUACAUAACUAUGCUGACCAAAUUCAAAACUGGGUUGGAUCUGCAACGUUCAGCUUCAAGAUCAUUUACCAGGUAAGUUACGGAUCUUUGUUUAGAUUUUCAUCACAACCAGUCUAUGAAACUUGAUAAAAUUGCCGUUUACCUUAAAUUUCAUUCUACAAAAUUUUGCAGCAUUCAUUGAAGUUGAACCUAACUCUAGCAUGAAGUUAUAUGUUUUGUUUAAAGCAAGAACUUAAGCAACCAACAUCUGUCACACUUCUUGCAGUAACACUCUCUAAUACUUGUCUCUGUCAUAUUAUACAUUCAAAAAGUUUACAUGUAAACCAUUUGCUAACCAGUCUUAUAAGGGAAAGGUAAUAUAGUACUGAUUGUAGUUGUUAAUACAGGAUUAGGAAAUGACAUCAUCUAUUAGGAAAUAAGAAUUGGGAUUAGGAAUUAUUGGGAAUAAAGCUACACUGUUAAGUAGAUACACAAGGGCUGAGAGCGAUUGCUCUCCUACAUUCUCGAACCUUUUACUACACUGUAGAGUUUAGUCUCUUUAGCAUUCCUGUUCCUCCCUCUGAAGGAUAUAUGCCCGUCUAUAUGUGGAAAACAAAGCACGACGAGCACUUCUUCUCAGUCUAGUUGUUCCAUUCUGAGGCAUCAAUACCAAUAUUUAUAUCAGUUUUGUGUUCCAUCUUGCUUUCAGGUUUUCAAGUGUGAGUUGUGCGUGUAUUAUCUCUUAAGGUCCAUUUUAUGUUUUAAUUAGGUUGAACAUAACAAGUAAAUUAUGAAUUGUUACUUAUGAGGGAAAUCUUUUUGUUCUAGUACCGUCAAUAACAAGACAAUGCUAGGGGCUCUCUCUUUUGAAUUAUGAGGCCUUGAAACUCGAAUAGCUUCCAACGUAUUUUGGAAUUCAUGACCUCAUUCAUGUUUUAGGAAAUACGGCACUAGCUAACAAGAUUCUUUUCUAUGUGUUUCAUAAGCAAAUGGUUGUUUUCUUGAUAAUACAGCUUCGAUGUAUUUUGGGCGUUAAUCUAACUGAUGUGGAUUUGUUAUAAUUUCUUUAACAGGAACCGGAGGAGAUGAAGCCGAAGGCUGCCAAUGAAAUUCUGAAAGAUAGUGCUUUUAUACGUAUGUUUCCUUUAUACGUCAUCUUUAGACAAACUUCUGUUAUUUACUUCUAUAGUUUUCCAUUUCAACUUCGCCUUACAUUAACAGCUUACUCAAAUAUGAAGACAAAUGUAUAAAUGUUUAUACUUCAAGCCACUCUAUGAGAUCAUUACUAUGUGGAAUCCAUUCAACGCCAAGGUAAACUACUUAGGUAACAUUUGUUUACAGUUUUAAAAAUGACUUUUCUAACUUA